rnacentral:rRNA from 1 species
UACGUAGGGUGCAAGCGUUGUCCGGAAUUAUUGGGCGUAAAGAGCUCGUAGGCGGCUUGUCACGUCGACUGUGAAAACCCGAGGCUCAACCUCGGGCCUGCAGUGGGUACGGGCAGACUAGAGUGCGGUAGGGGGAGAUUGGAAUUCCUGGUGUAGCGGUGGAAUGCGCAGAUAUCAGGAGGAACACCAAUGGCGAAGGCAGAUCUCUGGGCCGUAACUGACGCUGAGGAGCGAAAGCAUGGGGAGCGAACAGG